GAUGAACGCUCGCGAUAGGCUUAACACAUGCAAGUCGAGGGGCAGCAUGGUCUUAGCUUGCUAAGGCUGAUGGCGACCGGCGCACGGGUGCGUAACGCGUAUGCAACUUGCCUCACAGAGGGGGAUAACCCGUCGAAAGACGGACUAAUACCGCGUACACUCUAUGUUGGGCAUCCAAUGUAGAGGAAAUGAAAUUCGCUGUGAGAUAGGCAUGCGUCCCAUUAGCUAGUUGGUGAGGUAACGGCUCACCAAGGCGACGAUGGGUAGGGGAACUGAGAGGUUGAACCCCCACACUGGUACUGAGACACGGACCAGACUCCUACGGGAGGCAGCAGUGAGGAAUAGUGGUCAAUGGGCGAGAGCCUGAACCAGCCAAGUCGCGUGAAGGAUGACUGUCUUAUGGAUUGUAAACUUCUUUUAUACGGGAAUAACAAGAGUAACGUGUGGCUCCCUGCAUGUACCGUAUGAAUAAGCAUCGGCUAACUCCGUG
rnacentral:rRNA from 1 species